rnacentral:rRNA from 1 species
UUUAAUUUGAAUUGAUUGGACUUUAUUUGCGCAGUAUAGGUGGGAGACCUUGAGAAUAUUCUUGCGGGAGUAUUGGAGUCAUCAGUGAGAUACCACUCUUGUAAUGUUAGAUUUCUAACUUUGUAUCAUUAUCUGGUCAAAGGACAGUUUCAGGCGGGCAGUUUGACUGGGGCGGUCGCCUCCCAAAGGGUAACGGAGGCGCACAAAGGUUUCCUCUGAACGUGUAGAAAUCGUAUCUAGAGUGUAAAGGCAUAAGGAAGCUUGACUGUGAGACCUACAAGUCGAGCAGGGACGAAAGUCGGUCUUAGUGAUCUGACGGUGCUGAGUGGAAAGGCCGUCACUCAACGGAUAAAAGUUACUCUAGGGAUAACAGGCUGA